UUAGUACUCCCUCCGAUCCAUAUUAAUUGUCUCAAAUUUGCCCAAAUAUGGAUGUAUCUAUGCCUAAAAAGCGUCUAGAUACAUGUAAUAUUUCGACAAUUAAUAUGGAUCGGAGGGAGUACAAA
rnacentral:pre_miRNA from 1 species